CCUACGGGUUGCAGCAGUGGGGAAUAUUGGACAAUGGGCGAAAGCCUGAUCCAGCAAUGCCGCGUGUGUGAAGAAGGUCUUCGGAUUGUAAAGCACUUUCGACGGGGACGAUGAUGACGGUACCCGUAGAAGAAGCCCCGGCUAACUUCGUGCCAGCAGCCGCGGUAAUACGAAGGGGGCUAGCGUUGCUCGGAAUGACUGGGCGUAAAGGGCGCGUAGGCGGUUUAUGCAGUCAGAUGUGAAAUCCCCGGGCUUAACCUGGGAACUGCAUUUGAGACGCAUAGACUAGAGGUCGAGAGAGGGUUGUGGAAUUCCCAGUGUAGAGGUGAAAUUCGUAGAUAUUGGGAAGAACACCGGUGGCGAAGGCGGCAACCUGGCUCGAUACUGACGCUGAGGCGCGAAAGCGUGGGGAGCAAACAGGAUUAGAUACCCGUGUAGUC
rnacentral:rRNA from 1 species